GAUGAAGAACGUAGCGAACUGCGAUAAGUAAUGUGAAUUGCAGAAUUCAGUGAAUCAUCGAGUCUUUGAACGCACAUUGCGCCCCCUGGCAUUCCGGGGGGCAUGCCUGUCCGAGCGUCAUUGCUGCCCUUCAAGCCCGGCUUGUGUGUUGGGUCGUCGUCCCCCCCGGGGGACGGGCCCGAAAGGCAGCGGCGGCACCGCGUCCGGUCCUCGAGCGCAUGGGGCUUUGUCACCCGCUCGAUUAGGGCCGGCCGGGCGCCAGCCGGCGUCUCCAACCUUCUAUUUUACCAGGUUGACCUCGGAUCAGGUAGGGAUACCCGCUGAACUUAAGCAUAUCAAUAAGCGGAGGA
rnacentral:misc_RNA from 1 species